GGAGAGAUGCGAGAGCGGUUGAAUCGGGUGGUCUCGAAAACCAUUGAACCCGCAAGGGUUCCGGGGGUUCGAAUCCCCCUCUCUCCG
rnacentral:tRNA from 1 species